rnacentral:tRNA from 1 species
ACUGAUAGGGCUGCUAUGCAGGCUACUGUGAUAUAGUAGUUGUGGGAUUUUAUCUUCGUCGGUA